AGAUUAAACAAGGCUGCCACCUGGAUGUCACAUCACAGUCCAGCGUGGGUGACAGAGGUCCCAGGAGGAGCUUUCAGGAUGAUUGCUGGUAAAGUCUGCAGUGGACAGAGCUUACAAGUCCCAGGCCAGAGGGAUUUUCAGUGAUGGCUGCCUCUCCUCUCGCUCCAUGCCCUCCCUGUUCAUGUCACCAGACCCUGCCACCAACGUACGGAUCACAUAUUCCAG